AGCUGAAAGUAAAAGCCCAUGUCCGCAUCAAAAUGGCUGCCUCGGGUUUGUUGGGGUUUUUUUUUUUUUUUUUUUGGCAGCGCGUGUGUCCAGGUGGACAGUGAAUACUGACUGGUGUCUGCUGAAGUGGCACACAAACAUACAAACUGUGUCGUGUAAAUGUUUCCCAAUGUGUGCUUUUUAAAGACAGUAAUCUCAAAGACAGUUUUCAUCAGUUGACUUUAUUUUACAAAGCAGCAGCAACAAUCCAACUAUUGGAUCAACCCAUUUCUGGUUUGAAGGGAUCCUCUGAUGUAAGCAAAUGGCGUGCAAUGUUUCCAUCAGUUUUUCUUCUUUCCUUUCUUCCUUUCUUUUCUUUUUUGAUAAGAUGAAUGUUCCAUUGGACAUCACUUGAACAUAUGGCUCUAUAGUGGCAUUAAAUGUCAUGUAAUAUCCAGUAAAAAAAAAAAAAAAAAAAAAAAAA